AAUGCCUCUCUCUCUCUCUCUCUCUCUCCCAUUCUUUUCCUUCCUAGACCUUGCACGAAGAUUGUGUGUUCUCCAUUGCCUACAACUCGUCACCGGACAGCCCUCACUGGGACUUCACUCUCCAACAGCCAUCACCGACGCUAGGUUGUGGAAAUGCGUCCAUUUUAAAAUCCCUGUUCAAAAAUCUAGAUGAAUCUCUCAAGGUUUCUUACUUCCAUUAAUGGGCAUCUAGUUUUUUCUUUUUAAUGGACAUCUAGUUUGAAGCUAUCACUUCCGUAAAUGGGCAUCUAGUCUAAACACCCUGUUCGUAAAUUAGUAGAAUAUUGAUAGGAAAAAAUAAUUCAAGAAAGCUAAAAGCAAUCGAUGUAGAUAAUUUUGUAUAUAUAGAGUUUUUGGAUUUUUCUGCAUCAUGUGAAUUUGAAGGCUCUGUACAUAUAGAGUUUGCCUAAUGUGGAAAUAAUCUAUUACAAGCAUCUCAACGUGCAAUUUUUCUCCUUGCCAGGAUCCCACAAAUAUGGAAGAACUUUUAUAUGUGUUGCUCCAAAAAUAGUUGCAGUAAAUAGUUUUCCUUUGUGAGUUGCUCCAAAAAUAGUUUUGUGUUCCUUUGUGAGUUGCUCUAAAAAUUCUUUUCUGAGUUGCUCCACAAAAGAGUUGCAGUAAAUACACUUUAUCUGCUCCUCACAUAUGCUGUAGUAAAUAUUGUAUCUGCUCCUUACAUAUAUGCUACAGUAAAAUUGAAUUCACAAUUAUGCUAGAGUAAAAUUGAAUUCACAAGUAUGCUCCUUACAUAUAUAUGAUCAGUACGCUGCAGUAAAUACUAUAUAUGCUCCUUACAUGUGCAAGACUACAACCUGGCCAACAACUUUCUUACAGAUGCUCCUUACUUCCACUUACAUCUGCUCUUUACAUAUCUUCAAGAAGGCCAACUGAGAGCCAUGAAGGCUUGACACAUGUAACACUUUUAACAUAACCAUGCAAAUAGCUAGAUCAGUUUAUGGUAUAGGAUGGGUAUCAAACAGUUUAUUUCUUUAAUGAAGUAAAUUUAUUGCAAUCUGAAAAUUUAUUGUGGUAUUAUUUUGUAGUCCAAAAAUUAUUGCAAGUUUUUCAGGUGGGUGAGAUACUGAUUAUGCGAAAAUGUUGAGUAAGUGUCUUCAAGAAAAUAAUUAGUAGUUAGCCUCUACUACCAACCAUAUCGAUAUACUAGUUGAGCAGAAGUUGGUGACUCACAAAGUUGAAGUGGAAAUCAAGGCAAUUAAACAGAAUUUAGAGGAUAGGCAUUUUUUUGAGUUGUAAUGAAUGAAGUUGUUGACAUUAUAUUUUGCUGUCAAGUAUGCAAGACAUAAUUGUGGCUGCACAAGUUGUA